rnacentral:misc_RNA from 1 species
AACUUUUAACAAUGGAUCUCUUGGCUCUCGCAUCGAUGAAGAACGCAGCGAAAUGCGAAAAGUAAUGUGAAUUGCAGAAUUCAGUGAAUCAUCGAAUCUUUGAACGCACCUUGCGCUCCCUGGUAUUCCGGGGAGCACGCCUGUUCGAGUCUCGCGAACUUUCUCAUGAUUGGUUGGCCUUUAUGUCUGUCGUUAGCCUUGGUGGUUGGGCUCUGCCGUCUCCUUCAUUGGGGCGGCUGGCUUUAAAUGCAUUAGCUGAUCCGUGUGUGGAACUGGUUCUACUCAGCGUGAUAAUAGUCUGAUCGCUGAGGACAUCUUUCGGGAUGGUCAGUCCUCAUUUGGGUUGCAUCUAAACUUGGUGUUGCAAGUUAUUUCAAUCUGUAAUGCCACUUUUCAGCUUUGACCUCGAUUCAGGUGGGACUAUCCGCUGAACUUAAGCAUAUCAAUAAGCGGAGGCU